AUGAAUAGGAAGUAAUCUCAAGGGAAAGGUGGGAGAAAGAACUGGGCAAGGACUUCUGAAGAAGGCAGGGUUGAGAGGAAUUUUUUUUUAAAACUCUUACUUAGUAAUGACUCUAAGAAGGGCAAGGGUUAAGCAAAUAGGUUAAGUGACUUGGUCAGGGUCACACAACUAGGAAGUAUCUGUGGCAAAAUUUGAACUUCUGACUUUGGGCUUGGCACUCUGUCCACUGAACCACCUAGCUGCACCUGGCUGAGAAGAGUCUUGAAAGAAGUCAGGGGGGCCAGGAGUCAGAGGUGAGAAGGGAAAGCAUUCCAGGCACGGCAAAGGGUCAGUCCGGAGACGGAGUGGCAACUUAGCAGAUGGUCUUAUCCAAAUUCAUGUCUCCCCCAGUUCCCAGAAAAGGCCUCAGAGGCCCCCAAUAGGCUCUCAAUCUGUAGUUUGUUUGUUUUUAACCCUUACCGUACCGUUUUAGAAUCAUACCGUGUAUUGGUUCCAAGGAAGAAGAGAAGGGGUUGGGCAAUGGGGGUCAGUGACUUAACCAGAGUCUCACAGCUAGAAAGUGUCAGAUUAGUCUUUUUGUGAAAGAGAGCUCGAAUUAAUGAAAGAAAAGUGAAGAAAUAAAGUGAAAUAUCGUCCGGCUAUUCCCUUCUUCCAGGGACCCCCCAUACUGGUGAUGGACUUGUGAGAACUCCCACUGCAGCUCAGAAUUCUCAAGCUCAAGAGACCUACCAGCUGUGGCCUCCUCAAUACACAACAUUCAAUCCAACUCAACUCAAUUCAAUUCUAUAAUACUUUUUUUAAAUUUAAAAUUUUUGGAAAACUCUUACAUCUUGGGAUCAAUACUAACUAUUGGUUCCAGGCAGAAGAGCAGUAAGGACUAG
rnacentral:lncRNA from 1 species